GACGAACGCUGGCGGCGUGCCUAAUACAUGCAAGUUGAGCGAUGAAGCUUGGUGCUUGCACCAAUUUGAAGAGCAGCGCACGGGUGAGUAACGCGUGGGGAAUCUGCCUUUGAGCGGGGGACAACAUUUGGAAACGAAUGCUAAUACCGCAUAACAACUUUAAACAUAAGUUUGAAGUUUGAAAGAUGCAAUUGCAUCACUCAAAGAUGAUCCCGCGUUGUAUUAGCUAGUUGGUGAGGUAAAGGCGCACCAAGGCGAUGAUACAUAGCCGACCUGAGAGGGUGAGCGGCCACAUUGGGACGGAGACACGGCCCAAACCCCUACGGGAGGCAGCAGUAGGGAAUCUUCAGCAAUGGACGAGAGACUGAGCGAGCAACGCCGCGUGAGUGAAGAAGGUUUUCGGAUCGUAAAACUCUGUUGGUAGAGAAGAACGUUGGUGAGAGUGGAAAGCUCAUCAAGUGACGGUAACUACCCAGAAAGGGACGGCUAACUACGUG
rnacentral:rRNA from 1 species